rnacentral:rRNA from 1 species
UUGAAAGGGAAACGAUUGAAGUCAGUCGUACCGACGAGAAUUCAGCUCUUCAAGUGCGAACUUGUGGGCGUGCGUGAGCUUUAAAACCUCGCUGUUUGCAACGUUUGUGCUUUUUGGGUGUACUUUUUCGUAUGGUAGGCCAACGUCAGUUUCGUUUACCAUAAAAUGGUCGGAGGAAUGUAGCUUCGAUCUCGUAUUGAAGUGUUAUAGCCUCUGGUAGAUGUGGUGAACGAAACUGAGGAUUGCAACGAAUACCCUUUGGGCUAUCCGUCUGACCUCUGAAAGUUGCUUAGGUGCCGAAAGCAUGCUUACGGUUAUUUAAGUUGACGGUCAACAGGUUAGAACGUGAUUACAUUCGUUAAGGAUGUUGACGUAA